AGUGAACGCUGGCGAUAGGCCUAACACAUGCAAGUCGAACGGCAGCACAGUAAGAGCUUGCUCUUACGGGUGGCGAGUGGCGGGCGGGUGAGGGAUACAUCGGAAUCUACUUUUUCGUGGGGGAUAACGUAGGGAAACUUACGCUAAUACCGCAUACGACCUACGGGUGAAAGCAGGGGAUCUUCGGACCUUGCGCGAUUGAAUGAGCCGAUGUCGGAUUAGCUAGUUGGCGGGGUAAAGGCCCACCAAGGCGACGAUCCGUAGCUGGUCUGAGAGGAUGAUCAGCCACACUGGAACUGAGACACGGUCCAGACUCCUACGGGAGGCAGCAGUGGGGAAUAUUGGACAAUGGGCGCAAGCCUGAUCCAGCCAUACCGCGUGGGUGAAGAAGGCCUUCGGGUUGUAAAGCCCUUUUGUUGGGAAAGAAAAGCAGCAGGUUAAUACCCCGCUGUUCUGACGGUACCCAAAGAAUAAGCGCCGGCUAACUUCGUG
rnacentral:rRNA from 1 species